UACGUAGGGGGCUAGCGUUGUCCGGAAUCAUUGGGCGUAAAGAGCGCGUAGGCGGCCAGAUAAGUCCGGUGUGAAAGUCAAAGGCUCAACCUUUGAAUGCCGCUGGAAACUGUCUGGCUAGAGUCCGGGAGGGGCGAGUGGAAUUCCUGGUGUAGCGGUGAAAUGCGCAGAUAUCAGGAGGAACACCGGUGGCGAAGGCGGGUCUCUGGGCCGAUACUGACUCUGAGGAGCGAAAGCGUGGGGAGCGAACAGG
rnacentral:rRNA from 1 species